UUUUAGGGGAAAAUAAACUAGAUUUCCCGUAGACUUCCAUAUAAAUUAGCGGCAAAAGCAAUGUCCAUACACAGCCGGGAGCCGUGAAUAACUUUAAAAAUCCUUAAGACUAAACAUGUCAAGUUAUUAUAUGUCCAACCUGCCUGCCACAUGAAAGAAACGUCCCCAAACUUAAUUUGGUUAAUUUGAAAAUACGUCCCUUAAUUCUCCCAGUGUCAAACUGGUGUAACGCAGUGGCCAGUCUUACCCUUACAUUUACUCAUACCUCAUCAAGUCACCAGGUUAGCCAGUGAAUGAUUUUACUUCGUAUUUGAAAGUAAACCUCUUUAAAUGUAUAUAUUAUGUCUUUAUAUUUAAAGUACUGAGUGAACUUUUCUGUCCAGCCAUACAAUUAGCCUGGCUUAGCUUUCGCUUAGCAUCAUACGUAAUUCAUGAUAUUUCCAUAACAGCAAGAUAUGUAUGAUGAUUGCAGGUAGCCAUGGUGCACCCAACCACACAACAACUCUUUGGCAUGUUGUAAGUCCACUUCCUCGAUGGAAGAUUUUAAAAAGGCAGAGCUGAAAUGUUUUAGGUAAUGCUGGUGCUGUUGUGAAGAUAUUGUGGAGUAGUGGUUUUAGAUCUGGUCUGUUGUAGGUUUGAACUCUGCAAGGGGCUGUUAUCAUUGUGCCUAUGAGCGGGGCAGUAAACCCCAGGUUGCUCCUUUAAUAAGUGUACUGUGUGUAAAGUGUAUGCAAAAUGACUACUGACUAGACCACUGCACUGUUUAUGUCCUUAUAUAUACACUUUGUAUUUAAGCAAAGGCUUUACACUGUAAGUAUCCGCUUCAAAUGACCAUGAAUUUAUUGCUGUGACACCUGAAAAGCGACUAAGCCUUACUGGAAAUGCGACGUGACUAUUUUAAGAGCAGCUGUAAUAGAGGUCACCCUUGUGGUUCAGAUUGGCUGAAAUACCUCACAGAUGAUUAGUCUAAAAUACUAGACAUUCUUUGUCAAAUUGUCCUGAUGAUUUCCUGGCUGCACAGUGUGAAGUGCGCCACAAACACGAGGCCGCAGUGUUACAAAUGCAUUAGCACACCCCCUCGCCAAGGGCCCCAAUCAGCAUUCCUUGCUAAAAACACUCCAUUCUUCCUGCCCAUAUUUGGGAGAGAGGGGUAGGGAAUCCCUCGCCAUGACUCAUCGAGUUUCUCCGACUGUAAGGGGAGUUCACGGGAUGGAACGAACAUGACUUGUGCAUUUGUGGAUUAAGGGAUGUGCAGUGCAAACUCCCUGCUAAGUCAUAAAGCAGGAGAAGUUUUUAACGCUGACUGCUGCUUGCUGUGGUGAAACGUGUUUCUGCUUUGUUCUCAAGAAUGUCUAGUAGGGAUCCUAUAUGUAAAUUAAUACUUUGUUUUUAUAGCACUGUGAUUGUAUUAUGAAUAUAACUGUCUGUACAUUGUACAUUGUUAAUGAAUUGUUAACGAUUUUAGUUUUUCAGAAAUGUAGAAAGAAAUUAUAACUUUGGAGCAAACUUUGCCAGUUUGACUUAAUUUACAGUUUUCUGUGUUAGUGCACAGUGUUCACUUCAGGUGCAAAUAUCUCUAAAUGUGCUUUUGUUUGCGGACAUAUGAAUAACAUAUUCUUUCCCUUCCAGUCCUUACAAACAAACUUUAUGACUGCGACACUAGGUAAGAACAAUCCUGAAUGCUCUUUUUUUCUCCUCUCUAUUUCUCUCUCUCUCAUUUCCCACACUUCACUUCUUCCACUGUUAACCAUAGUGGAUUCAAACACAAACAAACAAGCAACGCUGACGAUUGCAAUCACCACUAAUUUGGAGGCCCAGCUCUCCACCCCCACUCUCGUCUCCUGGACGCGCUCCAUCCCAGAAACCCUUGGGGCUCCAGAUGGGUGUACUGGAUGUCGUGAAGGGGAGAAAAGGACAGAGGAGCUGUCCAAAACCUCCUGUUCCCCUGCCUGGCCCAGUCUGGAGAGAGUUAGUGCCAUCCCAAUGGAUCAGGACAAGCAGCCCUUUGGUGCUGAUCCAGGAUCUGCUGGGUUUAUUUGAAUCUUCACCUAAUACACUUGAAGAGGAGCCACAAGACUGAUCACAAAACUGUUUCAGGCAAACCCUUGUUGUACAGCUUAAUAAGAAAGAGAGGACAGACUGAGGGACUCGCUCGUCGUGUCUAGAAACCUGGCGGUCCACUCAGGACAUCUUAGCAGCUGCAUACCAACAUACUAGAAAACACUCAAAACACCUUUGUGACCUCAUAGCAAACGCCCUGGCAACCAUCCACAACGCUUUAGCACCGUGGCAGCGACUUUUGCAAAUGCAAGCGUUAGUUUGCCUCCAUUGUUGUCGUCUUUGUCCAUUUCUUCCAUCUCUCUUUCUCUCUUCCUCGCUCUCUCUUAUAUCAUUCUGGCUCGGAUGAGUGAAGCAGCACCUUCUCUGUUAGGGAGUGUGGAGAGAGGAAGAGAGAGAGAGAGAGAGAAAGAGAUGCAAGGAAGGAGAGAGUAGGAGGUGGGGGGGGGCAGUGAUGACACUGCAUGGUGAAGUCAUACUCCAUGACAUCAUCCUCUGGAGCAGAGCCAGCUCUCUCUCUCUCUCUCGUCCUCAAUCUCUUUCUCCCUCUUAACACACUCUUUCAGAAGGAGCAGGAGUAAAACUCUAGGAGCCCUUUGUUCCCACAAUCCCCCACCACAAACAGCAGCCCCUUCCCUCCAGCACUCUGUCUCUGUCUCCCAGUCUCUCUCUCUCUCUCUCUCUGUCUGUCUGUCCAUCUCUUGUAGAGCCUCAGGGCUUGUGCUUGUAGAUGAGUUCUGGCUGCAGCACGAUCGAUACAAACCCGGCAAGUUGUGUGUCCCUGGUUCCCCUCCGUCUACACACACAGACACUGUUCAUUUACUACUCACUUUUAUUCAACAUGUGGUUCAGUGCUCGGCGGUUUUUGAAAUGGACAUGGACGCUCUUUGUUAAUGACAUGUAUGUUUCAUGCCUCACUUUUCUGGUAAUGUGAGUAGAGCUUGCCAGUGCAAAAGCCACCACCACAAUGCAAGGGCGUUGCUAAAGCGUUCUGAGUGGCUACUUGGGCACUUGCUUGCAAGUGUUUUCCGGGUGGUCACAUAUGGUCCAGACAUAUGAGCCAGAGUCUCUAGGAUUGUUUCAGACAAAAAUGGAAUGAAUGGUCACUUAGAAAUGCAUCUAACAAGCUGCUUGAUUCAUGUAUAUAGCACAUAUGGUUCAGGGCAAGUUAUACACACCUAAGGUAAAGGUAACGUUACUUGUUAAAUUUACACUAUAAUGGUCGAGGUAUUUGAGCAAAUAAGUGAAUAACUCAUUUUAUUUAUUUACUAAGAAAUACAACUGAAAACCUGUCUGUUUGGCAUUAUAGAUUUUUUUUGUUUUCUGUUGAUUGUGCACAUUAAUUAAAGGUAAGCACUCAAAUAAGAGAUACAUUCUGAUUUUAAUUAAAUGCAACUUUCUUCCAAGUUUAGAAAUGGAAUAUUCAGAUUAUGGCAUAGAAUAAUUAGUUACUUUUGGGGUUUAGAACCAGCUUUGGUUUAUAGGAUACUGGCUUUGAUGAACCAUAUGCUGGUGAUAUAUUGUUCAAUUUAAAGAUGCUGUAAGUGAUUUCAGCUAUCAACAGCCGUCCUCUUUACAAAAACCUAUCCUUCAAAGACAUGUCAACAAACCUCUUACAGAGCAUUUCUGAUUGGCUAGUUUUCUGUGUACCAGC